rnacentral:misc_RNA from 1 species
CAGCACUGACAAUUUAGCCGGUGUUGACACCUGUCAUUUCAUUUCCUUCACAGUUUGGAAGAUGAAGUCUUGUUUUAUAUGGUGCAGACUGAGCAGCCAAUCUUCAUAGAAUCGUGAUUGAAACAUUUUAUUUGGCAAAGAUUUCGGAAUGUAAUUAUUGUAAUUUAUUCCACAGUAGCUGAUGAUCUACUACCAGUUCAGAUUAAAGGCGACACUGACACUCUGAAUAAACGACUAAUGUUAUUUAAUGUAAUUGUCAUUUUUUCACAGUGGCUGAUGGCCUAACCACUACUGGUGCAGCCUCGAUGAAUAAAUCAUCUAUUUUCAUUUUGUUUCAUCUUUGAUGCCGUCCUUCGACACCAUGCCGCUUCAAAAUAUAAAGGUGGAACCGAUGAAAGCGACGUCGACCACUGAGAAAACCGCAAUACCCUCCAUCGACCAGGAGAUGAUCGCCAUGAAACGGAAGGGGGAUCCAAGGUCGUACAACGACCGGAUGUCUUGGCUCGCCGUUUUUUACAAGUUAAUUCCCGACGGGAUAGGAGUGGCUGGUUUACGCUACGCCUUCAAUCCACGGGAGAUCAGAAUAAGAAGAUCAAUGUGGCUUCUUCUCGUGCUCAUCGCUUUCUGUUUCACCAGCUACCAGAUCGUAGAUAGGAUCUUGUAUUUUGCAUCCCAUCCGAAGGACGUUGACAUCAACAUCGAGUACAGACAUGAGGUUCCUUUUCCUUCCGUCGCUAUCUGCAACAUCAACAUAUUCAGGAGAGGGGCAGUCAAUGGAACAGUCUUUGAGGACUUUCUAGCCGAUCUGUUCUUCAACGGUACAUCUGUAAACAUGACAAAAUACCGAGAUGAGUUAGAGCAGUACGAAAUGACUGAGACGUUUCGAGAAAUGGGGCAUGACGUCGAAAUGACAAUAAAAGAUUUUUACUGGAGCGGCUUGGAAUUGUCCCUCGACAAUUUUACCAUGAGAAACACGGAAGCGGGUGUGUGCAUCGUUUUCAACGAUAUUGACAAUGGAUUCCCACAGUUGAUGGCCAGCGGUAACGGACCAAGAAACGGUUUGUAUCUGAAGUUGAAAGCCUCUCAGGAUGACUACUACUUUCAUCCCUUUCAAAUGAUUACCGCUGGAUUUCAGGUCCUACUCUACGACUACGGCACUGAACCUGUGAUUGAGAGGGGUUCUUUCGGCAUCGCCGUUGGGAUGGAAACACAUGUUGCAGUCGAUAUUACAGAAUACUAUAACCUCCCGAGACCUCAUGGACUUUGUGAAAACAAAACCCUGAAGUACUUUGACACCUACGGAUAUUCGGAGUGCGCUCUGGAAUGCGCAUCGGAGUUCAUCCUCGAGCGGUGCAACUGCAAUAUUCUAUCCAUGAACACCCCCGCACGAGAAUGUAACGCGUAUGAAUUCUUCAAUUGCAUUAACCCUAGUUUUGGAAUAAUAUCUGUUCACUUGUGAUAUUCAUGAAAGACCUGAGCGUUGAAACUAUCUCGCAACAGAUUAAAUACCCGUUCUUCAGUUUGUUAUGUGAUAUUGGCGGUUCCCUUGGUCUCUGGCUAGGUGGAAGUAUUCUAACUGUGUUUGAAGUAUUCGAUCUGUUCAGCAUGUCAACAUA